GUUUUUGUUAAGGUUGGAGCAGCUCCAAAGAGAGGCUCUGCCUCCGUGCGGCUGUCUGUUUGGGAAUCCUGAAUGUUUUACUUUUGGCUGAACUCAUUGCCCUCAGUGUACACACUCAUGACAUGACAGCAGAUUUUUCUGACAUCAGCAACAUUCUGACCGACCAGAACAGCAACAGCGAGUUUCCCUCCAUGAAUGCUAACUUCACUGAAACGGCUCCACGAGCUGAAGACACUUUAAGGGAAAUUGUGUCCUACAGAACGGACAAACAUCAGUUGUUCCUGUUCAU